rnacentral:tRNA from 1 species
UCUUCGGCUAUUUGUAGGUACACACUACUGAUCUGCGGACUGUUAAUCCGCAGGUCCCAGGUUCGAGCCCUGGUCGGGGAGCCA